rnacentral:rRNA from 1 species
AACGCUGGCGGCGUGCCUAAGACAUGCAAGUCGUGCGAGAAAGGGGCUUCGGCCCUGAGUACAGCGGCAUCCGGGUGAGUAACGCGUGGGCAACCUGCCUCGAAGUCUGGGAUAACCCGGGGAAACCUGGGCUAAUACCGGAUGAGCCCACGAGGUCUUCGGGCCUCGCGGGAAAAGAUGGCCUCUGCUUGCAAGCUAUCGCUACGAGAUGGGCCCGCGUCCCAUUAGCUAGUUGGCGAGGUAACGGCUCACCAAGGCUCCGAUGGGUAGCUGGUCUGAGAGGGCGAUCAGCCACACUGGGACUGAGACACGGCCCAGACUCCUACGGGAGGCAGCAGUCGGGAAUCUUGGGCAAUGGGCGCAAGCCUGACCCAGCGACGCCGCGUGAGGGAUGAAGGCCUUCGGGUCGUAAACCUCUGUCAGGAGGGAAGAACGACGGCGAGGUGAACAAUCUCGUUGUCUGACGGUACCUCCGAAGGAAGCGCCGGCUAACUCCGUGCCAG